AUUCGUCACACUAUCAUUAACUGAAUCCAUAGGUUAAUGAGGCGAACCGGGGGAACUGAAACAUCUAAGUACCCCGAGGAAAAGAAAUCAACCGAGAUUCCCCCAGUAGCGGCGAGCGAACGGGGAGGAGCCCAGAGCCUGAAUCAGCAUGUGUGUUAGUGGAAGCGUCUGGAAAGGCGCGCGAUACAGGGUGACAGCCCCGUACACAAAAGCGCAUGUGCUGUGAGCUCGAUGAGUAGGGCGGGACACGUGGUAUCCUGUCUGAAUAUGGGGGGACCAUCCUCCAAGGCUAAAUACUCCUGACUGACCGAUAGUGAACCAGUACCGUGAGGGAAAGGCGAAAAGAACCCCGGCGAGGGGAGUGAAAAAGAACCUGAAACCGUGUACGUACAAGCAGUGGGAGCACCCUUUGGGUGUGACUGCGUACCUUUUGUAUAAUGGGUCAGCGACUUAUAUUCUGUAGCAAGGUUAACCGAAUAGGGGAGCCGGAGGGAAACCGAGUCUUAACCGGGCGUUAAGUUGCAGGGUAUAGACCCGAAACCCGGUGAUCUAGCCAUGGGCAGGUUGAAGGUUGGGUAACACUAACUGGAGGACCGAACCGACUAAUGUUGAAAAAUUAGCGGAUGACCUGUGGCUGGGGGUGAAAGGCCAAUCAAACCGGGAGAUAGCUGGUUCUCCCCGAAAGCUAUUUAGGUAGCGCCUCGUGAAUUCAUCUCCGGGGGUAGAGCACUGUUUCGGCUAGGGGGCCAUCCCGGCUUACCAACCCGAUGCAAACUGCGAAUACCGGAGAAUGUUAUCACGGGAGACACACGGCGGGUGCUAACGUCCGUCGUGAAGAGGGAAACAACCCAGACCGCCAGCUAAGGUCCCAAAGUCAUGGUUAAGUGGGAAACGAUGUGGGAAGGCCCAGACAGCCAGGAUGUUGGCUUAGAAGCAGCCAUCAUUUAAAGAAAGCGUAAUAGCUCACUGGUCGAGUCGGCCUGCGCGGAAGAUGUAACGGGGCUAAACCAUGCACCGAAGCUGCGGCAGCGACACUGUGUGUUGUUGGGUAGGGGAGCGUUCUGUAAGCCUGUGAAGGUGUGUCGUGAGGC
rnacentral:rRNA from 2 species